rnacentral:rRNA from 1 species
CCUACGGGAGGCAGCAGUGGGGAAUAUUGCACAAUGGGGGAAACCCUGAUGCAGCGACGCCGCGUGAGUGAAGAAGUAUUUCGGUACGUAAAGCUCUAUCAGCAGGGAAGAAAAUGACGGUACCUGACUAAGAAGCCCCGGCUAACUACGUGCCAGCAGCCGCGGUAAUACGUAGGGGGCAAGCGUUAUCCGGAUUUACUGGGUGUAAAGGGAGCGUAGACGGCAGCGCAAGUCUGGAGUGAAAUCCCAUGGCUUAACCAUGGAACUGCCUUGGAAACUGUGCAGCUAGAGUGCAGGAGAGGUAAGCGGAAUUCCUAGUGUAGCGGUGAAAUGCGUAGAUAUUAGGAGGAACACCAGUGGCGAAGGCGGCUUACUGGACUGUAACUGACGUUGAGGCUCGAAAGCGUGGGGAGCAAACAGGAUUAGAUACCCGAGUAGUC